UACGUAGGUGACAAGCGUUGUCCGGAUUUACUGGGCGUAAAGAGCGCGCAGGCGGUCGUUCAAGUCGAGUGUGAAAGCCCCCGGCUCAACUGGGGAGGGUCACUCGAUACUGAUCGACUCGAAGGCAGGAGAGGGAAGUGGGAAUUCCCGGUGUAGUGGUGAAAAUGCGUAGAUAUCGGGAGGAACACCAGUGGCGAAGGCGGACUUCCUGGCCUGUUCUUGACGCUGAGGCGCGAAAGCUAGGGGAGCAACGGGG
rnacentral:rRNA from 1 species